GAUGAACGCUAGCGGCAGGCCUAAUACAUGCAAGUCGAACGGUGUCUUCGGACAUAGUGGCGCACGGGUGCGUAACACGUAUGCAACCUACCUUACAUUGGGGGAUAGCCUUUCGAAAGGGAGAUUAAUACCGCAUAAGACAGUAGCUGGGCAUCCAGCAGCUGUUAAAGAUUUAUCGAUGUAAGCUGGGCAUGCGUCCAAUUAGCGAGUUGGGGGGGUAACGGCUCACCAAGGCAAUGAUUGGUAGGGGAACUGAGAGGUCAAUCCCCCACACUGGCACUGAGAUACGGGCCAAACUCCUACGGGAGGCAGCAGUAGGGAAUAGUGGGCAAUGGACGCAAGUCUGACCCAGCCAUGCCGCGUGCAGGAUGAAGGCGUUAUGCGUUGUAAACUGCUUUUAUACAGGAAGAAACGACUCUUGCGAGAGGCAUUGACGGUACUGUAUGAAUAAGCACCGGCUAACUCCGUGCCAGCCGCCGCGGUAAGAC
rnacentral:rRNA from 1 species